rnacentral:rRNA from 1 species
UACGGAGGGGACUAGCGUUGUUCGGAAUUACUGGGCGUAAAGCGCGCGUAGGCGGCUUUGCAAGUCGGGUGUGAAAUCCCCAGGCUUAACCUGGGAACUGCAUUCGAGACUGCAUUGCUAGAGUAUGGGAGAGGGAAGUGGAAUUUCCGGUGUAGCGGUGAAAUGCGUAGAUAUCGGAAGGAACAUCAGUGGCGAAAAGCGACUUCCUGGACCAAUACUGACGCUCAUGUGCGAAAGCGUGGGGAGCAAACAGG